rnacentral:tRNA from 1 species
GUCAGGAUAGGUCAGUUGGUAGAGCAGAGGACUGAAAAUC